GAAAUGCGAUAAGUAAUGUGAAUUGCAGAAUUCAGUGAACCAUCGAAUCUUUGAACGCACCUUGCGCUCCUUGGUAUUCCUUGGAGCAUGCCUGUUUGAGUAUCAUGAAAUCUUCAAAGUAAAUCUUUUGUUAACUCAAUUGGUUUCUACUUUGGUAUUGGAGGUCUUUGCAGCUUCACACCUGCUCCUCUUUGUUCAUUAGCUGGAUCUCAGUGUUAUGCUUGGUUCCACUCGGCGUGAUAAGUUAUCUAUCGCUGAGGACACUGUAAAAGGUGGCCAAGGUAAAUGCAGAUGAACCGCUGCUAAUAGUCCAUUGACUUGGACAAUACUUUUAUGAUCUGAUCUCAAAUCAGGUAGGACUACCCGCUGAACUUAAGC
rnacentral:misc_RNA from 1 species